rnacentral:rRNA from 1 species
AGGAAGUAAAAGUCGUAACAAGGUUUCCGUAGGUGAACCUGCGGAAGGAUCAUUAACGAGUAAACAAGGGAGUUGUAGCUGGCCGCAAGGCAUGUGCACGCUCUCUACUCAAUCCAACCUUACACCUGUGCAUCUAUUGUAGGUCGGGUGGCUUGGCUUCUGUCGAGCUACUCUUCCUAUGUUCUACACAUACACUGUAGUCUUAGAAUGUCAUCUGCGUAUAACGCAUCUAUAAACAACUUUCAACAACGGAUCUCUUGGCUCUCGCAUCGAUGAAGAACGCAGCGAAAUGCGAUAAGUAAUGUGAAUUGCAGAAUUCAGUGAAUCAUCGAAUCUUUGAACGCACCUUGCGCUCCUUGGUAUUCCGAGGAGCAUGCCUGUUUGAGUGUCAUGAAUAUCUCAACUCACCCAGUUUUUGUGACUGUGGUGAGCUUGGACUUGGAGGUAUGCUGGCUGACUAGUCGGCUCCUCUCUAAAUGUAUUAGCUGGACCCGUUACGGAUCAGUACUCGGUGUGAUAAUUGUCUACGCCGUGUCUGUGAAGUGCCUUAGUGGAUCAGCUUCCAAUCGUCUUCGGACAACUCUGACAUUUUGACCUCAAAUCAGGUAGGAUUACCCGCUGAACUUAAGCA